rnacentral:rRNA from 1 species
AACGAACGCUGGCGGCAGGCUUAACACAUGCAAGUCGAGCGCCCCGCAAGGGGUGCGGCAGACGGGUGAGUAACGCGUGGGAACGUACCCCUUGCUACGGAACAGCUCCGGGAAACUGGAAUUAAUACCGUAUGUGCACUACGGGGGAAAGAUUUAUCGGCAAAGGAGCGGCCCGCGUUGGAUUAGCCAGUUGGUGGGGUAAGGGCCUACCAAGUCGACGAUCCAUAGCUGGUCUGAGAGGAUGACCAGCCACAUUGGGACUGAGCACACGGCCCAAACUCCUACGGGAGGCAGCAGUGGGGAAUAUUGGACAAUGGGCGCAAGCCUGAUCCAGCCAUGCCGCGUGAGUGAUGAAGGCCUUAGGGUUGUAAAGCUCUUUCACCGGAGAAGAUAAUGACGGUAUCCGGAGAAGAAGCCCCGGCUAACUUCGUGCCAGCCGCCGCUGUAAAAC